rnacentral:rRNA from 1 species
ACCGGCGGCUCGAGUGGUAACCGCUAUUAUUGGGUUUAAAGGGUUUGUAGCUGGCUGGAUAAGUCUCUUGGGAAAUCUUGCGGCUCAACCGGAAGGCGUCUCAGGGAUACUGGCAGGCUAGGGACCGGAAGAGGUGAGAGGUACUCCAGGGGUAGGAGUGAAAUCCUGUAAUCCUUGAGGGACCACCUGUGGCGAAGGCGUCUCACCAGGACGGCUCCGACAGUGAGGAACGAAAGCUGGGGGAGCAAACCG